UACGUAGGGUGCGAGCGUUAAUCGGAAUUACUGGGCGUAAAGGGUGCGCAGGCGGUCUUGCAAGUCAGAUGUGAAAUCCCCGGGCUUAACCUGGGAAUUGCGUUUGAAACUGCAAGGCUAGAGUGCAGCAGAGGGGAGUGGAAUUCCACGUGUAGCAGUGAAAUGCGUAGAGAUGUGGAAGAACACCGAUGGCGAAGGCAGCUCCCUGGGCUGACACUGACGCUCAUGCACGAAAGCGUGGGGAGCAAAC
rnacentral:rRNA from 1 species